AAUCGAAUCACACUGAACAAGCAAGAAUUAGAUGCAAGACGAGAAUCGAUUAUACUGAUCUAUCGAACGUUUGGUGGCAAACUUCGGUUCCUUCUUGAAUAGAUAUACAUAACCUGCCAAACAUCAGACAACUGUUUUAGAUAGGCUAGUUUUAGAUAGAUGUUCAUCGUAUCGGAUAUACAUCGACUAUGAAAAUAGGAACAUUAAAAGUUCUAGAAUUUCACGAAGAUUCAUGGCUGUUGCAGACAACUGUGUCUAAGUCGUAGGAUACGGCAGCUGAAAUUUUAUGCGAUCGCGUGAUCACACCUUCUCCACGAGUUUUCACGAGUCUUGACUCGAAUGCAACGGAAUGUCUAAAUAUAUAAUAAUCAAAAAAUGUUUCUCGUGAUGAACGAGAAAGUAGAAGUGCCAAAAGCAGCGAGCUGAAUCGGAAGUUAAGUAGUUAACGAUUAUUUUCCAUGGUUCUUAAGCAUUAACAAACGAGGAAAAAAUUCCCAUACCAACCACUGUAUCGUGUUUACAGGUACUGGGCCAACGUGAACGUAUUGUAGCCAAGUAUACGUUAUGGAGGACCACAGGCAGUAUAACACAUAAAACGGGCGCAUAAACGAGAUGCUAUCGGAGUUGGAGGAGGUUCCGCGUAAUCUAUCCAAUUAUCGUUCGAUCAGAGCUGUAUCCGUGAUUGUUGGGACCCCCAGCCACCGAGAGAAACUUGACUGCGAUGAAGAGCAUAAGGGAUAUCUGUACAGAAGGUUCCUAUCCAAUACUCUAUUACAAAUCGAAUAAUAUCGAGAAAAGCAAAGCAAGCAUUUUAGACAGAAAAUAAAAAUUACAAUAAAACAUUGUAAUAACACUACUAAUAAUAAUUAACCAGUAACCAAUGCAAUUCUAUCUUUAAAAACAAUGAAUAAAUGUUCUGGUUCAACAUAUCCACUCGUCGCCAUCCAGCUAGUUAUCAACGAUUUAUUAGUUAUCGAGCGUAGAACCACUUGCUUCUUCAUCGAACUCGAUUCACGGUUCGGUUUCGCAGGGUGGGGUCACCGAAGGUUGCGCAACUCGUGGCUAUUGCGCGGCGGUGCUGCCUUCCACACGAUUGCCACUUUAAGUGCGCCAUAAUGGCAGUGGGCUCGCUAAGAAGAACGCGAUCUUAAGAAACGGCUCACGGUGCCUUAGCACAGGGCUCGCCGUCCGUCUCGGUUUCGCUCGCUCUCUCGUAAGGCUAGCCGUCUCGAUCGCUCAGGGCCCCGCGGAUGCGGAUCGCCGUUGGGCCUUUCACUGGGGCCUGCGGGCUACAGGUCGCGACCUCAACGUGGUCCACUCCCUCUUCCCUUCCCGCCUCUUCGUUCUUUCUCCUCCUGUUUCUUUCGACUCCUUCGCCGCUCUCCAUCCUUCUCCUUCUUCCCUCCACCUCCAUCCCUGCUUCCUUUUCUUUUUCUCCAAACAUUUUUACCUCCCUUCUCUCUUACCUUUGUGCUUUACCUAACCCGGCUCCCUUUGCCUACUCGCUCUUCUCCGUCUCUUCACUCCACCGCCGUCUUGUUGCCACUCUCCUCUCGUCCCCGUUGUCCAAGGUACCCCGAGUCGUCUAUUCUUAGUCACUCUCGUUAAGCGAACCCAACACGGUGAUCAAUGGGAGUUUCCAACGGCUUAACUUCAUCCGCUGGAUAGAUGCAUCUCUGGCCGGAUAGAUUUGGGUUAUCGCCGGUCGGGAUGUUCGAUCGAAGGUUGACAACGUGAAAACGGAUUCCUCUCUACCUUCCUUGGGAAUGUAGGAGAAGACGAUGCGCUCCGCUCGUGAUAUCGACGUAGGUUCGCGACGUUCCCGCGAGAAGAAGCGGCUUGCCCUGAUUUUCGAGUCGAGCGCAUACGUACAUCGGCCGACUCGUGAUCACGACCUCAGCGAUCGGAAGAGCUUAAUCAUGUCCCGCGAACGUUGUAUAUACGGCGUGUACGCGACGAGUGGUAUAACUUGAUGGAGAGAGAAGAAUCGUUUAUUCAUUUCAAUAUAAUUACCCUGAAUAUCCAGUCGUGAUAAAUACUUUCAAGAGGAGCUUGCUAUAAUUUCACUCUCAAGUGGACACGUACCUUUCGACCGCAAUUUGUUCAAAUAAUUCGAAAGCAUCGGAUAUAUUAAUUUCACGCGGGUGAAGGGUACCCCGCGGUAAUUUUCAAAUUACAAGUUGGCCGCAGGCGAAGUACAGACCGUGGCCGUUCAGCCGCACUGGCCUUUAAGACAUUGUCUAAAUAAUAGUCUAAUGGAUAAGGUAUUCCAGGGCUGGGACCAGGCCGAUGGUGCCGCUUCCAAGAGUUGCUGCAUUGUGGUUACGCCAGUGUUUUAGAGGUUCUGGAAGUGGGUGCUCGGGCCGUUUUCUCCGGCAAACUGCCUCGUCUCUGGAUCCCCGGCUUGCACUUCAUUGGCCGCUCAACGGUCGUUGCUAACCCGGUUCUUGAAGAUUCAUCCCCGUGUGUCUCGUGCCGACGUGGCCUGAGCUCUUAUGGUUCCUGAACGCGAGGUACUCGACUGAUCAUCCUCCGACGGAAGUUCUUGGAUGGACGACUUCUUCGAUGGAAAAAAAGUGUUCGAAAAGGUUAAUCUCAUUACGAGACCCUUGGGAUCGAGAUGUGGGGAUCGGGAAGAUUUCUCAACACGAGGAAGCUUUGAUGUCGGAAGAAUUGACACUGGUUAUCGCCGGUGAAGCAAAUAAUCAUCUCGACGAUGCUCUUUCGAAAAGAAGCAUAGAACCUAUAUCUAUAGCGAAGAAGCGCGGUAACGACGAGUGGAGAUCAUAACAGUUACCUUCCAGGAAUCAAUUGGAUCGCGAUGCUGAACAGUUAUACCAAUGCCAUUCCCUGUCCUAGACAAUCGUGCUUGACAGUUGCAGUACAAGGAUCGGCAAAGAAGCUUUCUCAACCACGAUCCUUCGCCGAAAGAAAUUCUCUAAUUAAAAACUCUGAACAAGAAGAGGAACAACUUACAGAGUUCGUUCACCCGUGUAUCUCGAAAUGGACGAAAGUUUCACCUCGGAGUGGAAGUUGUAUAAAUUGUCCUUGAGACGAAUGAACCGUCACGUCCAUUUUUGCCGAUAACACUUUUCGUGCGUUUCUGACGUAAACGAUUGUUACACAUCCGGAUUUAUCUAGAUUUACAAAGCAGCAUCAUAAAAUAAAUUGUCAACACAAUUCUUUCUCGAAUCGUUAUAAUAUCUGUCGCACGAUGUUGCUCAUUAAUUCUGUUAAUUUGUGGCGUAAUCGAAUGAGAAUCUGGGAAUUCUUAUCUUCUUCUUGGAUAAUGUUUCACGUAUAUCAUAGCGCUUACUCUUUCUGCCUAUGAAUGGAUUCAGAAGGAGAUGAAUUGCGUAAUGAUA